rfam:Nematostella vectensis strain CH2 x CH6 NEMVEscaffold_681_Cont31683, whole genome shotgun sequence.
GUCAGGAUGGCCGAGCGGUCUAAGGCGCCAGACUAAAGGUUCGAUUCCUUCUCCUCAUGAAUGGGAGAGUGUUCUGGUCUCCGAAUUGAGGCGUGGGUUCGAAUCCCACUUCUGACA